rnacentral:lncRNA from 1 species
GAAAGAGAAAAUGACAUAAAUAGUUCCUUAAUUAAAUGAGUAGGUCUAAAAUGGACCCUUAACUAUACACUUAACGGAUUUAGUCCUUAAACUAUUCAAAAACUUAUCAGCUUUGGUCCCUUAACUAUACACUUACCAAUUUUAGUCCCUUAAUUAUAAACUUACCGAUUUUAGUCCUUUAAGUAUUCAAAAACUUAUCAUGUUUGGUCUUUGUCCAUUUUUUAAAUACAAAUAUCUUAGAUUUAUAUUAACGGAAAUCUUCGUGAAAUUAAAUUUUUAACCUAUUUUUUAAGUUGUUUCUCUAUCCCCACCCUUUUUUCUUCGAACUACUCUUAUGAAAAGAACAAUAACGUCAACGAUUCAAAAUAAAAUUAAUGAGGAAAGAAGAUAUAAGUCCUAAUUUUA